UCUCUCUCUCUCUCUCGUCCGAUAAAGGACGAAGAUUAAGCCGUCGAGAGCCAUCGAUUUCUUCUUCUCCCAAAAGCCUUGAGAGCCGGACCUUCCUUUGUCUCAUUUCUCCUCCCAAGCACCGCCGCGAUGACGUCGACCGAGACGGAGGACGCCGUCGCACCGCCAUCACCGAUUACCAAGAGCUCGAGUCCUGAGUUUGCGAAGGUCAGAUUCGUACUCCAAAUCUUCCUUAUUCAUGUUUGAUUCUACAACCGGAGAGCGUUUCUCUCGCCAUCGGCGAACCAGUUCACAAGCAAUUCGAAAGUCCAGAGAGCUUCAUCUGCGCCUGAAGAAGUGAGAUCUUAUCAUUGACGAUUCAGCUCUCGCAGGAUCGGAAGCACCAUACAAAUUCAAAGGUGGAAGAAUCAAAUUGGAAGAGCAGAAAGAUGGAAAUGCAGCAAUAUUGUGCACAUGAAUCGAAGUCCAUCUUAGGUGCAAAUAGCUGAUUCUGAAAAUUCUAAAGGCGGCUUUGACUGCAACAUCUGCUCAGACUUUGCACACGAGCCAAUGGUCAUCCUCUGUGGCCAUCUGUACUGCUGGCCUUGCAUCUACAAAUGGCUUCACGUCCAGAGCGCCUCCAUUGCGUCUGAUGAGUGCCCUCAGUGCCCUGUGAUUGCUUCCACAGCAUUUGUUUGUAUACUGCUUAACUUUUUAUACAAGUGAAGGUUCUCUUAUGAAAUUGCAACAAGCAAAGAAUUAGACAUAUUUGUUAUUCGUUUUUAUUUAUAAA